rnacentral:rRNA from 1 species
UCUUGGUCAUUUAGAGGAAGUAAAAGUCGUAACAAGGUUUCCGUAGGUGAACCUGCGGAAGGAUCAUUAAACGAUAUUGCGGCUCGCCGUCUCGGUGAACUCUUCAUAUCGACACACACACUGCGUACCCACCUGUUGCCUCCGCCGGGAGACACUCCCGGCGAGCGGGGAGCUCGAUAACACCCUUUGCAUUGCAUUGCAGUCAGUCUGAACUCAUUGAGAGAAACUGUCACAAAACUUUCAGCAACGGAUCUCUUGGUUCUCGCAUCGAUGAAGAACGCAGCGAAAUGCGAUAAGUAGUGUGAAUUGCAGAAUUCAGUGAAUCAUCGAAUCUUUGAACGCACAUUGCGCCUCCCGGCAUUCCGGGAGGCAUGCCUGUCCGAGCACCAACACGAAAUUCAGUCAGGCCGUCAAGUGGCCUGGUGGUGGGGGAUGGGGCGGCGUGCCUUCGGGCUCGCUCCCACCCCUGAAAGCAAAUGGUGGAAUGGACCGAGUGCCCCGGCGUGAUAACAACGUUUCGCUAGGCCUCUCAGUCGCACUCCCCCCGCAAAAGCGAGAGACAAAGCUUUGAUCUCGGAUCAGGUAGGGAUACCCGCUGAACUUAAGCAUAUCAAUAAGCGGAGGA